GAUGAACGCUGGCGGCGUGCCUAAUACAUGCAAGUCGAGCGAACGGACGAGAAGCUUGCUUCUCUGAUGUUAGCGGCGGACGGGUGAGUAACACGUGGAUAACCUACCUAUAAGACUGGGAUAACUUCGGGAAACCGGAGCUAAUACCGGAUAAUAUUUUGAACCGCAUGGUUCAAAAGUAAAAGACGGUCUUGCUGUCACUUAUAGAUGGAUCCGCGCUGCAUUAGCUAGUUGGUAAGGUAACGGCUUACCAAGGCAACGAUGCAUAGCCGACCUGAGAGGGUGAUCGGCCACACUGGAACUGAGACACGGUCCAGACUCCUACGGGAGGCAGCAGUAGGGAAUCUUCCGCAAUGGGCGAAAGCCCGACGGAGCAACGCCGCGUGAGUGAUGAAGGUCUUCGGAUCGUAAAACUCUGUUAUUAGGGAAGAACAUAUGUGUAAGUAACUGUGCACAUCUUGACGGUACCUAAUCAGAAAGCCACGGCUAACUACGUG
rnacentral:rRNA from 1 species